rnacentral:rRNA from 1 species
UGGGGAAUAUUGCACAAUGGAGGGAACUCUGAUGCAGCGACGCCGCGUGAACGAAGAAGGCUUUCGAGUCGUAAAGUUCUUUUAUAUGGGAAGAUAAUGACGGUACCAUAAGAAGAAGCCUCGGCUAACUACGUGCCAGCAGCCGCGGUAAUACGUAGGGGGCUAGCGUUGUCCGGAAUCACUGGCGUAAAGGGUUCGCAGGCGGAAAUGCAAGUCAGGUGUAAAAGGCAGUAGCUUAACUACUGUAAGCAUUUGAAACUGCAUAUCUUGAGAAGAGUAGAGGUAAGUGGAAUUUUUAGUGUAGCGGUGAAAUGCGUAGAUAUUAAAAAGAAUACCGGUGGCGAAGGCGACUUACUGGGCUCAUUCUGACGCUGAGGAACGAAAGCGUGGGUAGCAAACAGG